UGUAACUGUCUAGUCAUUCCACUGCCUGACCACUCCACUUCACAAAAUAAGACUGUGGGUUUGGGCUUUUUUUUCCCCUGCCAUAAAACCAAUUCAAAAUAGCAGAUGUCACCACUUCUAAAUAAAAAUGAGUGAUGGAUGAAAAGAUUUCGUCAGUUACUCCUGGCAGUUGGAGUCCUCUAGAAAAGGGGAAGCCAGAGGUAAAACUGACACUAUUCAGUAAUCACUCAAGAAAUCCAUACUUUGACAGAAGAGGAAGCUACUAUACCAUCAAAAAAAUGAGCAAGCAGACCAACUUUAAACACCACAGGAUGGCUGGUCACGAUGCAGAAGAGCUGAAGAAAUUCUGGGAAAAGAUCAUUCAAGAACAAACUAAGCAACGAGAAGGUGAAGAGUCUAGAUUAAGCAGAAGUGCCUUGAACAAACUUCGCCAUGAAUGGACUCAGAGGCUGGAAGGCCAAGCAAAACAGGUCCAGGCACACAUGAAAAAGCGGAAGGAACAGAUGACGCUGCUGUCUAUUGAGGCUCUUCCCUCAGCAGAUAAAACCGUUGCUUAAAGAUACCGGGAAAACACAGAAAGCAUUGGGCCUGACCCUGACCUUCUGCAUGCACCUGUGAACGAGCAGUUACAUGGCUGGACAGGCAAGAGGUCAGAAUCAGGCCCUUUCCCAGACCAGCUGCAAGAGAUACCAAUAAAGCCCUGCUGAAUUUCA
rnacentral:lncRNA from 1 species